UAGUUUACCUGUACAGAACUUCAGGAAGGAACUGCCUCUUAUAUUAUAGCAUAGCUAAACUUUUUGGUCGAAUUCGGAAAAAUUGUUGUAAAGCCUAGGAAUAGAAUUGAGUGUUCAGCUAUUCCUGAAGCACAAGCACUGGAAAUGAUGUCAUUUUUGCAGUGCACCAUUGUAUACCCUCAGACGAUUGGUUGGAUUGAAGUGCUUUGACCAGGCAGACCUACCACAAAAGAGCGUGCAAUCAGUGUGUUAGAUCAUAAUGGAAGGUCACAGAAAACAAAACCAGGGGCCACAGAUGGUAGCUGAGGAUGGGCAUAUUCAAAACUGAGGGGAGAAGGAGCUUCACUGAAAGGGUGGUGAACCAUUGAAACAGGCUGCCGGACAGAGUUGUUGAAGCAGAGACUAUCGGAUAUUGUAUAACACUCUCUGUGACCAUAAUAAAACGUUUAGCUAGCAGCCUGGAUGAAGGGCAAUCAGUUUAGCCACAGAUUCCCGGAGGGUUCAUUUCCCCUACUAACUUGUUUAGGGUUUUGUUUUUGUUUUUCCUAAUGGACCAUGCUUGCAUCAAAACGAGCAAGCAUAGGUGGGCUGAAUGAAUUUUUCUUGUUCUUGAAUUUGUUGUGUUCUUAUGAUGUUUGUAUUUUAUGGUUAAGACACCUAAGUAGCUGAGCUAUUAAGAGCUGCACAGCAUCUUGCAAACCACUUGUCCAAUUUUGAUAAAACUGUACAUUAGCAUUUGUUAUGACAUGCUAUUAUAAAUGCUGAGAAUGUUGGCUAUGAUGAUGUAAGGACCUUGCAAAAGGGAUCUGCCUCAGGUAAUGACAAAAACACUCCUGACAUCAGCACCUCCUUGGAUGGAUGUAAAAACCUUUUUUGCAAGCCAUUCCCACUAUAGUAAUGGAACUACAGCCAUGACACUUGUUGGGUGGCAUGCAUUUUCCUGCUGGGCAUUGCUUGAAGGAACAGUUUUGCCAUCUAUUUAUUCACAGUGGCAUAGACAAAGAGGCAAUAGUUCAAUUGUAAUAUUAGCUUAUCUUGGCAAAUCCAUAUUGUACUUACACCAUCAUUCAUGUAUAUAUAAAAUGACAAACAUUUUUAAAACUUUAAAAGCAUGAAAACAAAACAUAAUUUAAUACUAUUAAUAUUAAAUGGCAUUUGUGUAACUACAUGUGUAAUUUCUCCUAGAGAAGCCCCCUUUUUGUAUCACUUGAGCCCGCUUCUUACAGUGGACCCAUAUUAUUCCUUCUUAAUAUAUUAACUCUUCUUUAUCUUCAGACACGUCCUUCCGGUGGAAUAUUCCUUUCUUCAGAUUUGAUGAAAUAGAGCUAUACUAUUUUACACUAUUCUGUCAAAUCUGACUCUACUACAUACACUUUCAAUGUUGUUACAAUCUGCCCCAAUACCAUCAGCUUCCAUUAAUUAAAACUAAUUAACAACAGCAUAUUCAGUACGUUGACAUUUAUAUGGAGACAAUUUUUAAAGUAAAUAUAAUCACUAAUAACUUUGCUUUCUUUAAGCUGAAGUCUAAAAACAUGUUGUGUAAAGUUAUGUAUAACGCCCCGUGUUAACACGUGGUAUCCUAGAUAGGGCUACUCAGAUAGCAUGCCAUUAUCUGAUUUAUUUAUUUUUAUCUGACACACUGUUGAAAGCUAUAGGUUAUUUUAAACAACAUAGCACGAAAAACAUAAAUUAUUCAAUACCAGCUUGUUUUAAUCAUUUAUCAUUAACUUUAUAAUUUUAUAGCCAUCUCCCGAUUUUAUUAGAUCCUUACUUUAAUGUAAGUAUAGCCUUAGGUUCUCCGUCUCUUUUUAUAACUGAACUGUUUGCCUUAGACCUAUAAAUUGACUGGUAUAGUCUAUAGGAUUACAUUUAUGUCAUGAUUUCUCGUGACGUUAUCAUUGUUUAUCCUAUAUUAAAAAAAAAAAAAAAAAUUGAUAAUGACUAACCCCAGUUUCAUGCCAGACUGGAUACACUUUGUUACUGUUUUCAUAGAUGCAAUGAAGCAGAAUUUGAAAAGGCAAAUAUUUUUAUUCACAUGCGAACCACGCGAUUCUGUUUACAAAGAGUUAAAAGGCGGAAAAUCGAACGGAUCUGAAUAGGUUUCCAUGUCAAACACUUCAAUUCUCCAUAGUAACUCUGAUCUUAACUCGGAAACUUUAUUAAACCGCGAUGGAGGAUUGAUAAAGGAGAAUUUCUAUCAGCUUUUUUAUUGCGGAGACUGGGCUAGAUGACAGAUUUAAAUUGCUCCUUUAAUUAAAGCAAUGCUUUAAAGGAAAUUACAGUCUGAAUGGUGUCCCAGAAAUGGGGUCUGUGACUGUUGCCUAGAAACUUUAUCAAUCCGUUUCAAAUUUAUUCCAGAUCACAGUUUUGAGAUAAAGUUUAAUAAAAAUCCUCUCCCCAAUGAAAUCCGGCCCUUUCAGACCAACCAGCGACAAUGAAACCGAACUGUGGAGCAAACCUUAUGCUUAAC